UGACAGUCGAGCGGACAGAAGGGAGCUUGCUCCCGGAUGUUAGCGGCGGACGGGUGAGUAACACGUGGGUAACCUGCCUGUAAGACUGGGAUAACUCCGGGAAACCGGAGCUAAUACCGGAUAGUUCCUUGAACCGCAUGGUUCAAGGAUGAAAGACGGUUUCGGCUGUCACUUACAGAUGGACCCGCGGCGCAUUAGCUAGUUGGUGGGGUAAUGGCUCACCAAGGCGACAAUGCGUAGCCAACCUGAGAGGGUGAUCGGCCACACUGGGACUGAGACACGGCCCAUACUCCUACGGGAGGCAGCAGUAGGGAAUCUUC
rnacentral:rRNA from 1 species